rnacentral:rRNA from 1 species
CAGCCGCCGCGGUAAUACGAAGGGACCUAGCGUAGUUCGGAAUUACUGGGCGUAAAGCGCGCGUAGGCCGUUGAGUUAGUUAAUUGUGAAAUCCCAAAGCUUAACUUUGGAACUGCAAUUAAAACUGCUCGACUAGAGUUUGAUAGAGGAAAGCGGAGUACAUAGUGUAGAGGUGAAAUUCGUAGAUAUUAUGUAGAACACCAGUUGCGAAGCCGGCUUUCUGGAUCAACACUGACGCUGAGGCGCGAAAGUAUGGGUAGCAAAGAGGAUUAGAUACCCUCGUAGUCCAUACCAUAAACGAUGAUUGCUAGAUGUUGGAAAUUUAUUUUCAGUAUCGCAGCUAACGCAUUAAGCAAUCCGCCUGGGGAGUACGACCGCAAGGUUAAAACUUAAAUGAAUUGACGG